rnacentral:rRNA from 1 species
AGUGAACGCUGGCGGUAGGCCUAACACAUGCAAGUCGAACGGCAGCACAGUAAGAGCUUGCUCUUACGGGUGGCGAGUGGCGUACGGGUGAGGAAUACAUCGGAAUCUACUUUUUCGUGGGGGAUAACGUAGGGAAACUUACGCUAAUACCGCAUACGACCUACGGGUGAAAGCAGGGGAUCUUCGGACCUUGCGCGAUUGAAUGAGCCGAUGUCGGAUUAGCUAGUUGGCGGGGUAAAGGCCCACCAAGGCGACGAUCCGUAGCUGGUCUGAGAGGAUGAUCAGCCACACUGGAACUGAGACACGGUCCAGACUCCUACGGGAGGAAGCAGUGGGGAAUAUUGGACAAUGGGCGCAAGCCUGAUCCAGCCAUACCGCGUGGGUGAAGAAGGCCUUCGGGUUGUAAAGCCCUUUUGUUGGGAAAGAAAAGCAGCAGGUUAAUACCCCGCUGUUCUGACGGUACCCAAAGAAUAAGCACCGGCUAACUUCGUG